rnacentral:rRNA from 1 species
GAAAGUAAAGAAGGGCGCAUGGCGGAUGCCUUGGCUCUCGGAGGCGAUGAAGGACGUGAUAAGCUGCGAUAAGCUUUGGGGAGGUGCAAAUGACCUUUGAUCCAGAGAUUUCCGAAUGGGACAACCCAAUAUCUUGAAGAGGUAUUAUCUUACUAUGUAGGAGGCUAACGCAGGGAACUGAAACAUCUUAGUACCUGCAGGAAAAGAAAAUAAACAAUGAUUCCCCCAGUAGUGGCGAGCGAACGGGGAACAGCCCAAACCAUCCAUGUUACGGCAUGGGUGGGGUUGUAGGACUACGCCGUUGCAUGAAGACAUCAGAGAAGAACUUUCUGGAAAGAAAGACCAUAGAGCAUGACAGUUGCGUAUUCGAAUGUUGUCGAAGCAUAGUAGUAUCCUGAGUAGCGCGGAGCACGAGGAAUUCUGCGUGAAUCUGCCGGGACCAUCCGGUAAGGCUAAAUACUCCCGAGAGACCGAUAGCGAACCAGUACCGUGAGGGAAAGGUGAAAAGCACUUCGAACAGAAGAGUGAAAUAGUUCCUGAAACCGUGCGCCUACAAGCGGUCGGAGCUCGUUAAUGAGUGACGGCGUGCCUUUUGCAUAAUGAACCUACGAGUUGCCUUUGCCGGCAAGGUUAAGUGUGACGACACACGUAUCCGAAGCGAAAGCGAGUCUGAACAGGGCGUAUAGUCGGCAGUGGCAGACGCGAAACCAAGUGAUCUACCCUUGGCCAGGUUGAAGGCUGGGUAACACCAGCUGGAGGACCGCACCAAUAAGCGUUGAAAAGCUUCUGGAUGAGCUGAGGGUAGGGGUGAAAGGCUAAUCAAACUUGGAGAUAGCUCGUACUCCCCGAAAUGCAUUUAGGUGCAGCCUUGCGGGUUACUGAUGUGAGGUAGAGCGACUGAUAAGAUGCGAGGGCUUCACCGCCUAUCAAGUCUUGACAAACUCCGAAUGCGCAUCAGUUCUACCGCAGGAGUGAGGGCAUGGGUGCUAAGGUCCGUGCCCGAGAGGAGAAGAAUCCGGACCACCUGCUAAGGUCCCGAAAUGACAGCUAAGUUAAACUAACGAAGUCUGACUGCUAAGACAGCUAGGAUGUUGGCUUGGAAGCAGCCAUUCAUUUAAAGAGUGCGUAACAGCUCACUAGUCGAGGAGUCGGGCGUGGAUAAUAAUCGGGUAUCAAGUUGUCUACCGAAGCAGUGGGAUCAUUGAUAUGAUCGGUAGGGGAGCAUUCCAGUCGGCGUCGAAGGCGUACCGUGAGGUAUUCUGGAGCGUCUGGAAAAGCAAAUGUAGGUAUAAGUAACGAUAAAGGGGGCGGGAAACCCCCUCGCCGAAAGACUAAGGUUUCCUGAUCAACGCUAAUCGGAUCAGGGUCAGUCGGGUCCUAAGGCUCAGCCGAACGGCGAUGCCGAUGGCAGAAACGGUUAAUAUUCCGUUACUACCUUCAGGAGUGACGUGGAGACGCAGUAGUGACAGUGCCGCCAUCUGACGGAAUAGAUGGUUGAAGGGUGUAGGAGUCGAUCAUGGCAGGCAAAUCCACCAUGAGAUCCGAACCUGACAGUAUGCCGCGUCCUUCGGGACAAGGCAAUAGUGCGCGUAAGCAUGCUGCCGAGAAAAUCCGCUAAACUUAAUCCUGCAGGUACCCGUACCGCAAACGGACACACGUAGUCGGGAUGAAUAUUCUAAGGCGCUUGAGUGAUUCACGGUUAAGGAACUAGGCAAACUGACCCUGUAACUUCGGGAUAAAGGGUCCCUACCCUUUUAUGGGAGGGCGCAGAGAAUCGGUCCAGGCAACUGUUUAACAAAAACACAGGGCUGUGCCAAAUCGAAAGAUCCAGUAUACAGCCUGACACCUGCCCGGUGCUGGAAGGUUAAGAGGAGAUGUCAUCGAUAAGAGAAGCGUUGAAUUGAAGCCCCAGUAAACGGCGGCCGUAACUAUAACGGUCCUAAGGUAGCGAAAUUCCUUGUCGGGUAAGUUCCGACCUGCACGAAUGGUGUAAUGAUCUGGACGCUGUCUCAACCGUGAGCUCAGUGAAAUUGUAGUAUCGGUGAAGAUGCCGAUUACCCGCGAUGGGACGAAAAGACCCCGUGAACCUUUACUAUAGCUUAUCAUUGAAUCUGGGCACGUGAUGUGUAGGAUAGGUCGGAGGCUUUGAAGCAGGUACGCCAGUAUUUGUGGAGCCGCUGUUGAAAUACGACCCUUUAUUUGUUUGGAUUCUAACCCGUGGAUACGGGGACAUUGAUUGGUGGGUAGUUUGACUGGGGUGGUCGCCUCCAAAAGCGUAACGGAGGCUUCUAAAGGUGCCCUCCGGCCGAUUGGUAACCGGCCUUAGAGUGUAAUGGCAUAAGGGCGCUUGACUGGGAGACUGACAAGUCGAUCAGGUAGGAAACUAGAGCAUAGUGAUCCGGUGUUUCCGUAUGGAAGGGACAUCGCUCAAAGGAUAAAAGGUACUCCGGGGAUAACAGGCUGAUCCCUCCCAAGAGCUCAUAUCGACGGAGUGGUUUGGCACCUCGAUGUCGGCUCGUCACAUCCUGGGGCUGGAGAAGGUCCCAAGGGUUGGGCUGUUCGCCCAUUAAAGUGGCACGCGAGCUGGGUUCAGAACGUCGUGAGACAGUUCGGUCUCUAUCUAUCGUGGGCGUAUGAAAUUUGCGUGGCUCUGACACUAGUACGAGAGGACCGUGUUGGACAGACCUCUGGUUUGCCGGUUGUGCCGCCAGGUGCAUUGCCGGGUAUCUAAGUCUGGAUCGGAUAAGUG